AGUAAACCCUUUACCCUUACCCAAAUUCCUAAUUUCUCAUUCUCUCAAGUCUGCCGAACCCUAGUCCAAACUCCAACCGCGCAAUCGCAACUGCACCAGCCUGCCGUGCAACGCCGCAGCCCUCUCCGACUAGAGAGGAGUCGCAGCCCUCCACUCCACCAGGUGCCAGCCCUCUCUCUAAGGCCGAAGCCCUCCCUCCAAUCUUCACACAGCCCUCUCGCUUCACUUCCUCACGCCGAUUCGGAGUCGCCGGUCGUCGCUCAGUAGCCUCAGCGCCUCAGCGCCUCAGCCUCCCGAGUCACGCCCUCACCCAUCUCAUCUCAGAUUCUCAGCCUCCUGAGUCACGCUCAGCAGCCUCAGCGCCAUUCCUGGUUAUUUUCUUCUUCCAAGGUCUUGAUGAAGGCAUGAAGCAUGUUAAUGACUUUUGCAGAUUGGUAGUAUGAAGAGUGAAGACUAUGAACUAUGAACUUUAUUUAAUUUGUUUUGUGUGAGAACUAUGAACUAUGCAGAUUGGCCCUUGGCAGUGUGAAGUGUGAACUUCACUGUGAAGUGUAAAUGAGGCUAAGUAAUUCAUGUUGGCUACUGCUUAAGUAAUUCAUAUUGGCUACUGUUCGUUUUUUGGUUGCCGCUAUAACCGACCGAGCUGCUGCUGUGCUUGCUACAGAAGGUGGUCUGGUGGUGAAGAAUUUUAUUGCUACUUUAGAUCCUGUAAGAGGUGAACGGCAUGGGCCUUUGAUAUAUAAUGUUGUUAGGAACCGGAUUGAGACGGAGUUCCCGGUGGUGGGACUGGAUUGAUGAGUCAAGAGACAGAGGCUUGUGAUUCCGAAGUUGGAAGUGAGAUGAUAAGCAGGGGUUUGAGCUCACCACUGAUCUUGCAUGACUUGAGUAAAAUUAGUUCAAAUGCAAAAGACUUUUGGCAAAAUAGCUAGCCAACAGAUACAUUCCUAUGGCUAUUUGUUAUAAUUAAUUUCUUUGUCUUUAGUCUUUAUAAAGUUGUAUGAAACAUUUUUUUUGGUAUUAAUGAUGAAGUCUUUUAAUA